CCAGCAAAGGUAGUAAGAAAGAAAAAAAAAAAAAAACAUACUAUUGUGUUUUAUUUUUAAAAGAGCAUCAAAGUAAAAAAAUGGCAUCAGCUAAGAUUGAGAAACCUCCUGGCAAGGAGCCUGCAGCUAAAGCUCCUACUAGCACGCCGAAAACUCCGGCCUCCAAAAACCCCCCUAAGAAGAGCGGGGCCAGUACUCGGGAGCCUAAGAAGAAGACAUCCGGCACCGGAAGCAAGUCAGCAGCCAAGAAUUAAGUAGGAUGAGGAGGAGUCCAUGCAUUGGUGUCACCUUUGGAGCUCCAUGAAGAUGUUAAAAUUGGAGUGGUCCUCCAUGGUGUUUUAUCAAUUUUAAUAGCUCUUGGUUGUACUUUAUAACCAUAUGCAUGUCUCUCUUUUUAUGCUUGGCCUAUUAAAUAAAACAUACAUAUUCUAAAAUCA